rnacentral:rRNA from 1 species
CUACGGGAGGCAGCAGUGGGGAAUAUUGCACAAUGGGCGCAAGCCUGAUGCAGCCAUGCCGCGUGUAUGAAGAAGGCCUUCGGGUCGUAAAGUACUUUCAGCGGGGAGGAAGGGAGUAAAGUUAAUACCUCUGCUCAUUGACGUUACCCGCAGAAGAAGCACCGGCUAACUCCGUGCCAGCAGCCGCGGUAAUACGGAGGUGCAAGCGUUAAUCGGAAUUACUGGGCGUAAAGCGCACGCAGGCGGUUUGUUAAGUCAGAUGUGAAAUCCCCGGGCUCAACCUGGGAACUGCAUCUGAAACUGGGAGGCUUGAGUGUCGGAGAGGGGGGUAGAAUUCCAAGUGUAGCGGUGAAAUGCGUAGAGAUCUGGAGGAAUACCGGUGGCGAAGGCGGCCCCCUGGACGAUGACUGACGCUCAGGUGCGAAAGCGUGGGGAGCAAACAGGAUUAGAUACCCGGGUAGUC